rnacentral:rRNA from 1 species
AUUGAACGCUGGCGGCAGGCCUAACACAUGCAAGUCGAACGGUAACAGGAAGCAGCUUGCUGCUUUGCUGACGAGUGGCGGACGGGUGAGUAAUGUCUGGGAAACUGCCCGAUGGAGGGGGAUAACUACUGGAAACGGUAGCUAAUACCGCAUAACGUCGCAAGACCAAAGAGGGGGACCUUAGGGCCUCUUGCCAUCGGAUGUGCCCAGAUGGGAUUAGCUAGUAGGUGGGGUAACGGCUCACCUAGGCGACGAUCCCUAGCUGGUCUGAGAGGAUGACCAGCCACACUGGAACUGAGACACGGUCCAGACUCCUACGGGAGGCAGCAGUGGGGAAUAUUGCACAAUGGGCGCAAGCCUGAUGCAGCCAUGCCGCGUGUAUGAAGAAGGCCUUCGGGUUGUAAAGUACUUUCAGCGGGGAGGAAGGGAGUAGAGUUAAUACCUUUGCUCAUUGACGUUACCCGCAGAAGAAGCACCGGCUAACUCCGUG